UACAGAGGGUGCAAGCGUUAAUCGGAAUUACUGGGCGUAAAGCGCGCGUAGGUGGUUGUUAAGUUGGAUGUGAAAUCCCCGGGCUCAACCUGGGAACUGCAUUCAAAACUGACAAGCUAGAGUAUGGUAGAGGGUGGUGGAAUUUCCUGUGUAGCGGUGAAAUGCGUAGAUAUAGGAAGGAACACCAGUGGCGAAGGCGACCACCUGGACUGAUACUGACACUGAGGUGCGAAAGCGUGGGGAGCAAACGG
rnacentral:rRNA from 1 species